AAAAAGAAGGAAACAAAGUUUUAAAUAUCUAAAUUUUGAAAAUUUGUACUCCUUUCUAGUAUUUUAGUCUAGUCUGUCUUUAAGCUAGUCUGCAAACGUGACGGUUGAGUCCAAUGGAUGGCUAUGUCACAUUGCUCUGGACCUGCUAUCGUGGCGGACACUUAGCCUGCAUCUAAUCCUGGCCAGAAGCUGCUGCUGCUGCUGCUGCUGCGAGUCAAAGAAGUUGUUCUGCGUCAGACCCAAGUCACGCUGUCGCUCAUCGGCUGAGCAGCAGCGUGUCUUUGGUCUGACGAAGAACUUCUUCUUUGCCUGCAGCUGAAAGGGUCCAAAUAGUUGCCUGAAAGGGCAGCCAGAUUGCGCAAGAACCAUCUCGAGAGGCCCGAGCCACAAGAGAAUGUAAAUGCACACAUUAAAAACAAUUUUAAUAUUAAUAGAACCCACUCCAAGGGGCUUAUAAAUGCAUAUAGUAAAUGCUGUUAUUAUAUAAUA